GGCCCGCUCACAGAAAACUAGGAGCGUCGGGCCAGGCAACACCUCUGCUGCGUGUAGUGCGUGGGGUAACCUUUUUACCGUCACGCCACGACUUCUCAACUGUGCAGGAAAGGCGCGAACAACCACAAUCCCAGUUAAGUACAUGUAACGGUUGUGGCGCCGCAGCAGCUGCUGGGACUUGCACCGUGAGCUGCAUGUAUGACGGACGGUCCCUGGGCAUUCCCGGCGGCGCUUCACUGCAGUGGUGACAUUGAAGGGAGGAAUUGGAGACGCUGCCUUGCACCACUGCUCUCCUGACAACACUGCCUUCCAAGGAGGGAGGGAUGGACGCUCGCACUUCCUCAUUGCUCCAAAUUUCCCAUACUUGCAUCUGCAGCUUGAGAGGGAGGCCUGACUUUUCAACUCGCUCAUCACUGUCCUGCCAUCCAAGGAGGGAAGGACGGACAUUCUCACUUCCUCGCUACCCUAUCCUGCCCAUACCUACAUGCUGUAGCCUGAGCAGGACAGACUUGUACAUGCAGCUGCCAGGGACAGGAUAGACUUCCACAUCGCUCAUCACUCGGCCACUGCCCUGCCAGCUAUGUGGAGACUGCCUUACUUCGUCCUGCUAAUGCUACCACUGCCCGGGAGAGGAUUGACUUCACAUCGCUCAUCACUCCUGUUGCGUGUUAUGGGGAGACUACUGCCUCGCCUCGUCCUGCUAAUGCUACCGUUCUGUUGUAAUCAAUUUUGCCUUGUUUUGUGAAAUACUAACAUGAAACUGGUGUAGCAGUAAGUAAUAAAAAAAAUAAUAAAGAAAAUGGCUGAUUGUUUUUUUAAAACGCUCCAGCAGAUUUGGGUAACUGAAAUGACUGCUAUAUUUAACUGUUAGCCACGUAUCCACUAUUUAAGUAUGGUUAAUUAAUUAUGAUGCUCACUGAAUUAUGCAAAUACACCGAAUAAUAAAUUGCCUCAAAAUUU